AUCUAAAUAACCUCAUCUCUCUCUCCAACUAGAGUAGAUCUCUACGUCCAGCGGAUAUUCAACAAAACGGCAAAAGGAAAAAGGCGGGACAUGGCUCCAAUGUUCUCCAGCGCCGGCCUCCGGCCAUGAACUUCCCAUCCCUGCCAACUGUAAUGACGUGUUUCAAGUAUGAAAUUGGAUCGAAAAGCAAUUGUACGUAUACAUCAUACUGAUUUUUAUUCCUUUUUUCUGCUGAGUCCUGUCUUGGGCGCGCAUGGAUUGAUGCUGCUCCUGCAUGCGAGUGUUUGCCGAUGCCGUCAAUACCUAGGAGGCGCAGAAACUAACAGGCGACUAUCGGCAUGUCAGCUGCGACGAGAACAACGUACGGCUGCUGUAGAUGCUCAGAUGCAGCCCUACUUAGUUGCGACGGCAACGACGACGAAUGGCCGCAUGUCCACAAGUUCAGCGGUGCAAGGGCAACAUACGGCAACGGCUCCGCUAAUGAUGUACGGUGGCGGAGAUCAUGGGAACCUCCCAUUGAGAUCUUCCGAUGAUCCAUGCAUGGCAUCACGUCUGCAUCAUGUACAUGGAUGUCGCGUACUACUUCAAACUGAUCUGAUCGGAUGCAUUAGCUUGAUGUCUAUGUAGAUAUACUGUUGUAAAUCACGUUCACGGUACUCC